CUCCAGACUCCUACGGGAGGCAGCAGUGGGGAAUAUUGCACAAUGGGGGAAACCCUGAUGCAGCGACGCCGCGUGAGUGAAGAAGUAUUUCGGUACGUAAAGCUCUAUCAGCAGGGAAGAAAAUGACGGUACCUGAUUAAGAAGCCCCGGCUAACUACGUGCCAGCAGCCGCGGUAAUACGUAGGGGGCAAGCGUUAUCCGGAUUUACUGGGUGUAAAGGGGGCGCAGACGGCGAUGCAAGCCAGGAGUGAAAGCCCGGGGCCCAACCCCGGGACUGCUCUUGGAACUGCGUGGCUGGAGUGCAGGAGGGGCAGGCGGAAUUCCUGGUGUAGCGGUGAAAUGCGUAGAUAUCAGGAGGAACACCGGUGGCGAAGGCGGCCUGCUGGACUGCAACUGACGUUGAGGCCCGAAAGCGUGGGGAGCAAACAGGAUUAGAUACCCGCGUAA
rnacentral:rRNA from 1 species